rnacentral:rRNA from 1 species
UACGGAGGAUGCGAGCGUUAUCCGGAUUUAUUGGGUUUAAAGGGUGCGUAGGCGGACGCUUAAGUCAGCGGUAAAAUUGCGGGGCUCAACCUCGUCGAGCCGUUGAAACUGGGUGCCUUGAGUGGGCGAGAAGUACGCGGAAUGCGUGGUGUAGCGGUGAAAUGCAUAGAUAUCACGCAGAACUCCAAUUGCGAAGGCAGCGUACCGGCGCCCAACUGACGCUGAAGCACGAAGGCGUGGGUAUCGAACAGG